UAAGAGAAAAUGUUUUUGGACAGACCAAAUUCCUCAUCCUCAUUGAAAGAGAGGCCGUUCUCAUCACUCUUCUCCUAUGUCGAGUGUUUCAAAAAUCUCAACCGUAGAGGCAUCAAGAGCUACUGUUGUUCGCCCGCCUUCAAUGGCAAAAGAACAAGCAUCACUCUCGGAUCUAUUACAAGACCGAGGAUUGAUCGACUUCAAACUGAUCACUUUCGAAGUACUUUUCGAGGAGCUUCUGGUUGUCAUCAUUGAUUUUAAACUUCUAUCUUAUCGCUUUCAAACAUUCUUUUUCAAUUGUGUUUCUAUUUCAAAUAUUCGACAAGUAAAUUCUUUGGUGAAGAGCUUCCGGAUUAGUGUUGUUGUUGUAACCGCAAGUUAAUUUUAAUAUAAUAUUAUAUUGG
rnacentral:sRNA from 1 species